rnacentral:rRNA from 1 species
AUUGAACGCUGGCGGCAGGCCUAACACAUGCAAGUCGAGCGGUAGCACAGGGAGCUUGCUCCUGGGUGACGAGCGGCGGACGGGUGAGUAAUGUCUGGGAAACUGCCUGAUGGAGGGGGAUAACUACUGGAAACGGUAGCUAAUACCGCAUAACGUCGCAAGACCAAAGAGGGGGACAUACGGGCCUCUUGCCAUCAGAUGUGCCCAAAUGGGAUUAGCUGGUAGGUGGGGGAACGGCUCACCUAGGCGACGAUCCCUAGCUGGUCUGAGAGGAUGACCAGCCACACUGGAACUGAGACACGGGCCAGACUCCUACGGGAGGCAGCAGUGGGGAAGAUUGCACAAUGGGCGCAGGCCUGAUGCAGCCCUGCCGCGUGUAUGAAGAAGGUCUUCGGGUUGUAAAGUACUUUCAGCGGGGAGGAAGGCGAUAAGGUUAAUCACCUUGUCGAUUGACGUUACCCGCAGAAGAAGCACCGGCUAACUCCGUGCCAGCAGCCGCAGUAACAC